rnacentral:rRNA from 1 species
UACGGAGGGUGCGAGCGUUGUCCGGAAUCACUGGGCGUAAAGGGCGCGUAGGCGGGCUGGCAAGUCGGUCGUGAAAUCCCUCGGCUCAACCGAGGAACGUCGAUCGAUACUGCUGUUCUUGAGGAUUGCAGAGGAGACUGGAAUUCCCGGUGCAGCGGUGAAAUGUGUAGAGAUCGGGAGGAACACCGGUGGCGAAGGCGGGUCUCUGGGCAAUUCCUGACGCUGAGGCGCGAAAGCGUGGGGAGCAAACGGG